rnacentral:rRNA from 1 species
UACGGAAGGCAGCAGUGGGGAAUAUUGCACAAUGGGCGCAAGCCUGAUGCAGCCAUGCCGCGUGUAUGAAGAAGGCCUUCGGGUUGUAAAGUACUUUCAGCGGGGAGGAAGGCGAUGUGGUUAAUAACCGCGUCGAUUGACGUUACCCGCAGAAGAAGCACCGGCUAACUCCGUGCCAGCAGCCGCGGUAAUACGGAGGGUGCAAGCGUUAAUCGGAAUUACUGGGCGUAAAGCGCACGCAGGCGGUCUGUUAAGUCAGAUGUGAAAUCCCCGGGCUUAACCUGGGAACUGCAUUUUGAAACUGGCAGGCUUGAGUCUCGUAGAGGGGGUAGAAUUCCAGGUGUAGCGGUGAAAUGCGUAGAGAUCUGGAGGAAUACCGGUGGCGAAGGCGGCCCCUGGGACGAAGACUGACGCUCAGGGUGCGAAAGCGUGGGGAGCAAACAGGAUUAGGAUACC